AUACGUAGGGGGCGAGCGUUAUCCGGAAUUAUUGGGCGUAAAGAGUACGUAGGUGGUUUUGUAAGCGUGAGGUGAAAGCCCGGGGCUUAACUCCGGCGAGCCUCACGAGCUGCAAGACUUGAGUGCAGGAGGGGAAAGUGGAAUUCCUAGUGUAGCGGUGAAAUGCGUAGAUAUUAGGAGGAACACCGGUGGCGAAGGCGACUUUCUGGACUGUAACUGACACUGAGGUACGAAAGCGUGGGGAGCAAACAGGAUUAGAUACCCUGGUAGUCCACACUGUAAACGAUGAAUGCUAGGUGUAGGGGGUAUCGACCCCUUCUGUGCCGCAGUUAACACAAUAAGCAUUCCGCCUGGGGAGUACGGCCGCAAGGUUGAAACUCAAAUGAAUUGACGGGG
rnacentral:rRNA from 1 species